rnacentral:rRNA from 1 species
AUUUUGGCAACGAUCUGGCAUUGGGUAUAUUGGGACCUAGAAAUAUUCUCUGAUGAGCGGACGGGAAAACCCUCUUUGAAUUUGCCCAAGAUCUUUGGGAUUCAUUUAUUUCUUGCAGGGGUGGCUUGCUUUAGCUUUGGGGCAUUUCAUGUAACGGGUUUGUAUGGUCUUGGGAUAUGGGUAUCCGAUCCUUAUGGACUAACUGGAAAAGUACAAGCUGUAAAUCCAGCGUGGUGUGCAGAAGGUUUUGAUCCUUUUGUUCCCGGGGGGGUAGCUUCUCAUCAUAUUGCUGCGGGUACAUUGGGUCUAUUAGCGAGCUUAUUCUAUCUUAGUGUCCGUCCGCCUCAACGUCUAUAUAAAGGAUUACGUAUGGGCAAUAUUGAAACUAUACUUUCCAGUAGUAUCGCUGCUUUUUUUGCAGCUUUCGUAGUUGCUGGAACUAUGUGGUAUGGGUCAGCAAUGACCCCAAUCGAAUUAUUUGUUCCUACUCGUUAUUAGUGGGAUCAGGGAUACUUCCAGCAAGAAAUAUCGAAGAGUUAG